rnacentral:rRNA from 1 species
CCUACGGGUGGCAGCAGUGAGGAAUAUUGGUCAAUGGCCGGAAGGCUGAACCAGCCAUGCCGCGUGAAGGUCAGUGCCCUAUGGGCGUUAAACUUCUUUUGUGCGGGAGCAAUAAUGGUCACGUGUGGCCAGACGAGAGUACCGUACGAAUAAGCAUCGGCUAACUCCGUGCCAGCAGCCGCGGUAAUACGGGGGAUGCAAGCGUUAUCCGGAAUUUAUGGGUUUAAAGGGUGCGUAGGCUGGGAGGUAAGUCAGCGGGGAAAUGCCCCCGGUCAACGGGGGGAAGUGCCAUUGAUACUGCCUUGCUGGAGUGCGGAUGCGGUGGGAGGAAUGUGUGGUGUAGCGGUGAAAUGCAUAGAUAUCACACAGAACACCGAUUGCGAAGGCAUCUCACGGAUCCGCGAUUGACGCUGAUGCACGAAAGCGUGGGUAUCAAACAGGAUUAGAUACCCGGGUAGUC